CUGGGGCAUUCCGCCCCCUUUGGACUUCAUUGUCCCUGCUGUGUCACCAGGGGCCCUGCCACACCCUGCCUCCGAGUGUGUGGGGUCUGUACCUGCUUUGCCCCCACUGGCCGCUUUCUCCAGGACAGCCAUGAACAUCUCCAGUGUCCUCGGAGCAAGGAAGGAAUGCUUCCUGGAGCAGAAGUGGCCACAAUGACGCUAGGUCAGCAGAUGGCCGCAGAGGCCUGGGCAGUGACCGGUCGGAGAACAAAGCCUGAGGUGUUCCCAGGCCGGUUUCCACGGGAGUCUUGGCAGUGACCCGUGCACGGAGGAGACGCGUGCCUUCCUGGCCCCCCAGUUUGGAUUCCUGGUGCCUCUAAGGUCUGCUGAUGGCAGAGCUGCACCCGGGAUAUUGCCACGGUUUCUACAGGACUGAACAAAGGGGGACCAACGCAGAAAUGAAAACUUAAAACAAAACAGCCACUAAGGAAGGCGCAGAGGGACUUCCUUUCGGCCUGCAACAGUAUCUGUGCUGCCCAAGUGAGUAUGGAAUUUUAAAUUUUCAUUCUUAGUCUCUUCCUUCAUCCACUGGUCAUUCAGGAGCAUGUUGUUUAAUUUCCAUGUAUUUGUACAGUUUCAAAUGUUCCUCUUGUUAUUGCUUUCUGGUUUUGUUGCACUGUGGUCAGAUAAGAUACCUGGUAUCAUUUUGAUUUUUAAAACAUUGUAGAGACAUGUUUUGUGUCUUAACAUAUUGUCAAUCCUGGAGAAUCUCCCAUGUGCUGAUGAAAAGAAUGUAUUUUUCAGCUGUUGAGUGAAACGUUCUGUAAAGGUCUGUCAGGUCCAUUUGGUCUACGGUGUAGUUUCAAUCCAAUGUUUCUUUGUUAAUCUUCUAUCUAGAUGAUCUUUUUAAUGCUGAGAGAGGGGUUUUAGAGUCCAACUAUUAUUCUAUUGGGGUCUAUCUCUCCCUUUAGAUCUAUUAAUAAUAAUAUUUGCUUUAUAUACCUGGGUACCCUGGUGUUGGGUGCAUAUAUAUUUUUAAGUGUUAUAUUCCCUUGCCAAAUUAACCCCCUUAUUAUUAUACAGCGUCUUUGUCUCUUUUUAUAGCUUUUGAAGUCUGUUUUGUCUAAUAUAAGUACAGUUAC